rnacentral:tRNA from 1 species
GGAGAGAUGGCCGAGUGGUAAGGCGCUGGACUGAUACUCCAAGGCCCGGGCACCAACACUGCCCGACGUGGGUUCGAUUCCCACUCUCUCCG